UGUGACAAUGGGGGUGUAACCAGUGCUGCCAAAUGCAGAGGUUUACAGAGUGGUAUAGAAGAAAUAGUGUGUGCGCAGUUUGUAUGUGGAGUCCGCUGGCGAUUGGGCAGUGUAUUGCCAGGCAACCCUAGGUGUAACGUCGGACCUUGUUGGCUCAUUUGUUUAGGAUUUGAACUGUGGAAAAUAGCUAACUUAAGUAACAAAACAUAAAAUGGAAUGUAGAUAUGUCUGCCACUCAGAUGAAAGAAAAGCUAUACAUAAAAAAAAAAAUUAUGAGCCUUUGAGAAACGUCGUUAGUAGAGUAAUUGAACAGCAGAAUGACAAGAUGGAUAGAUCUGACGUUACAUUGAUAGGAGCAGCAUCGCAGCUUCAAGCGAAGGGGGGAAUACAUUUAUGAUCCAGGUCCAACAGCAGCAACCAGUGAAGUUUUGUAAGUAGGUAUUGUUGUGGCCUAAUAACAAGCAUCUGUUCGUCAACGCAUAUAUUGUUUUGGAAGUAAGGUAUUAAACAUGAAUAUUAUUUGCCUCUAGCUUUUAGUUGGGAAAUCAGGUAGCAAUAUUAGGAUUUUAGCGGUGGAGGGUUGGGUGGGAGUCUCCGCGGCUAACGUUUGCACCCAUGGGAGAGAAAGCUAAGCUCCGCCCCUGCAAAAGGGGGAACCUAAGCUAUUGAAGCUAGGGGUGAGCAUAUUUUUUCAACACAAUGAAACUGCAUUUCUGUUGAUUUUUUAUGAAUAGAUGAUUGCAGAGUAUAAUCUUUCAGUGUCAUUUGUUAAAUUAAAUUUAGUUUAUCUGUAAAUAGAGUUGAAAUGUGUACUUAUUUUUUCACAUGACUGUACAGUACGUUUAAGGUAAGCAGCAACAGCAUAUGGACAAAUAAUAUUUUACCUUGUUAUUUUUCUUUUGCCCUGAAAGAGCACUCCUAAAUUGUGUGAUCUAUGUACAAGGGAAAACAAUUACUUUAAAACAUGUUCCUAGUGGUGAGUAAAAGCAGCGGAUGUUAAAAUCCGCCAGCCUUCUCACUUGGGAAUACUUUCUAGCCUCUCAUGUCUGGCACAUUCACAAAUGUGUCCGGGAAUUGGAGAUGUUCAAUCACACACUCGUGCAAGGAAAGUGAUGGACACAUAAUGUACUGUACAAAGCUCUCCUCCAUCUUUCCCUCUCUCCCCAGGGAAGGUAACACCAGAUCCAAUGCAAUAUUUGAUGUUCCAGGUCCACAGGAGGUUGUGAUAUGCUGAAAAAACUGGCUACUAAGGUCAAUGCGGUUGGGAAAGGCAUGGAGCAAUGUGCAACAACCACGCGGAGAGCGAUAAGCGGGAUUUCCGCUCUGGUCAACUCUAUGCACAUACUCUUGGAGAACGAGGAAAGAAAAAGGUGCAGUGGUCUCUUAAUGUUUUCCGGAGCUGUAUGUAGUGUGAAGACAUAAUAAGCUGGAAAAACAAUUGAAGGCCAUGACUACCCUUAUGAAGCAAUCCCAAACCUCAGCACAGCAAUUGGGAUACCAAGUGAGCAAGCUUUUCAACAUUUCAAAACUUCUGAUUACUUGAAUUACAU